rnacentral:lncRNA from 1 species
UGCAAGCAGAGGAAAAUUUUAAGCUUUUAUAGUUAGAAAUUAGUAUUCUGAUUGUGAUAGAUGCUGUACAGUAAGGAGAGAACUAGCUCCUGCCUGAGGCAAUUUUAUGAUGUAAUAGGAUUCUAAAGAUUUUAAACAUGUUUUAAUUCAGAAUGGGAGAAAAAAAUUAAUCAGACUGCAUGAACCGGGGAAUUGGAAGUGCCAGCACCAGGAAAUCCAGCAGAUUCUACCACAGCAGCACAGGUUUGAAGUUUCUGGCAAAAUUUAAGGAGCAGGAUGCUCAGAACUUUUCAAGUUGGAAUUUGUCUCUUCUCCCUAGAAAACAUCUUCUAAUUCCUGUUGACUUCAGAGGAGUGCAAGAUUUCAUUCUUUUUCAGAACAGAAAACAAUACCUGCAUUAAGUAUCUGUUGGAGCGAGUGGACAUUGGGGGCUUUUUGCAUCAUACUCAAAGUUGUCAGUUUCCUAGGAUAAUGGCUUCCACUCCCAUGUUUUGUAACAGGGUUCUUGGUUAUUAUUUGUGACACUUGUUUUAAGGAAGAACAUAUUUAAUAACUUUGGUUAGUGGUAUCUAAAGAUUGCUGCCACAUGUAGCAGCAUUGUUGUUUGUCUGAAUAAAACUGUACUAAUAUGUUUUUACUUCA